rnacentral:lncRNA from 1 species
CCUUCUCUUUAUUGUAACCCAUAGUUUGGCAUGAAGCAGUUAGGUUUGCGGAGGCCAGAUGAUGAUGUUCAACGGGUCACUGAUGCGCCCCCCUCAUACGUCAUGUGGCAGUUGGCAAUGCUCCUGUGAUAGCAUCAGGCUGAGUGCCUAGUAAAUCAUGAGUCUUGUCCAGAAGUUAAUACUGCUUGCUGGAGAACUGGAGCAGAGCCUGUGCAAGGCUAAUACACCUUAGUGUCCUGUUCAUUUACUCUCAGUUGUUUAUCCAGGCUUUAUAAACAUUAGCACAAGCAGCAGCCUGAUUAAUAUGUUUUUCUCUAUGUGCUAAUUAAUAGAUGCUAUGGUGAAGGAAGAUCUUUCCAAAAUAAAAUAUUGGAACUCAUUAAAAGUGGAUAUAGUUCCAAGUCUAAAAAAUUUGGGGAGUGUGUUAUCUCUGUCAUAUUUGUCUUAUGUGGUCUUCUCAUCUUAAGGGUUAUAGUAAUCAAAAAAUCUGACUAGUUUUGAUUUGUUACUUAGCAAAAUUCAUUUGAAAACAUCAGCUGUCAUGCUUAAAAUAUGGUAUGUUUUUUAACUAUAAAAAAUGUAUUUUGAUCUUACUUAUUUCUGUAUGAAAUUUCAAAACUUGGAGGUUAGGGCUGUGAGAGCCGGGGAAGUGACCAUCA